rnacentral:lncRNA from 1 species
CGGAUGGUCCGGAUCCGGCGGCGACGGUUGGUGACUGGGCCACCGUUUGAACUGGCUGAACGAAUUGACGAAAUUAGUCGUCGACGACUGGUGGUCAUCGCGCAAGGGAGGGAAAGAGGAGACGGAGUCGAUGUCGUCGAUGAAGGCAGUAGCGCCGGCGUGGUCGGGCUCUAGGUAGCGUCGGCGUGGUCGGGCUCUAGCGAUAUGCUUCUGCUGCCGUGGUGACUCGAAGCUUGAUCCCUCUGCUCUCUUCUUCCCCGAUCUCCGCUGGCUCCGCUGCCGCUGCCGUUUCUGUUCUCGUUUAGUCUCAGGGACACCAUACUUCCGACGACGACGACGACGACGACUUUCGAUUGGUUUAGAUAAGAUUGGGGAAGACGGGGAAAACUGCGUGGAGAUAUGAGAAUGAAGAGAGAAACAAUUUGGCAGAUGAAAGCAAAUCCGAAGAGAUUUGAAGGGCUGAUUUGGCUGUGUUGACUUCUUCUUCGCUUUUCUGAUAAGAAGAAAGAAAAGAAAGUCGCUUUUUUAAUCGGAGCAGUGAUUUUAACUGCAAGAUAUGGUUAAUUUGAAAUUGUUCUCACAAUCUAAUUAUGCAUACACAGUUCAUACACGGGGAUAAUCACUUGCGUCUGGUUUGGGACAACAACCAGUCUAGUUGUCGACGGGAAGAACGACAUCAUUGGUGCCGCUCGACUCCACCUCCACGUUUCAGCCGUAGCUUCGACUUUUUCUUGGCACAUCUUUGUAAGCGAUAUGGUCAGAAAUA